rnacentral:rRNA from 1 species
UUUUGUGACAAUACCAUCUUUUUAAUGUCCAAUCUCAUCUGAUCUUGCAAUCUAAGCAGGACUGAACCUGGUUAGUACUUGGAUGGGAAACCGCUAUCAAUACAAGGUGCCACAUUGG